AGAGUUUGAUCAUGGCUCAGGACGAACGCUGGCGGCGUGCCUAAUACAUGCAGGUCGAGCGGACCACUUCGGUGGUCAGCGGCGGACGGGUGAGUAACACGUGGGCAACCUGCCUGUAAGACUGGGAUAACACCGGGAAACCGGUGCUAAUACCGGAUAAUCCUUUCCUUCACAUGAUGGAAAGCUGAAAGACGGUUUCGGCUGUCACUUACAGAUGGGCCCGCGGCGCAUUAGCUAGUUGGUGAGGUAACGGCUCACCAAGGCGACGAUGCGUAGCCGACCUGAGAGGGUGAUCGGCCACACUGGGACUGAGACACGGCCCAGACUCCUACGGGAGGCAGCAGUAGGGAAUCUUCCGCAAUGGACGAAAGUCUGACGGAGCAACGCCGCGUGAGCGAUGAAGGCCUUCGGGUCGUAAAGCUCUGUUGUCAGGGAAGAACAAGUACCGGAGUAACUGCCGGUACCUUGACGGUACCUGACCAGAAAGCCACGGCUAACUACGUGCCAGCAGCCGCGGUAAUACGUAGGUGGCAAGCGUUGUCCGGAAUUAUUGGGCGUAAAGCGCGCGCAGGCGGUCCUUUAAGUCUGAUGUGAAAGCCCACGGCUCAACCGUGGAGGGUCAUUGGAAACUGGGGGACUUGAGUGCAGAAGAGGAAAGUGGAAUUCCACGUGUAGCGGUGAAAUGCGUAGAGAUGUGGAGGAACACCAGUGGCGAAGGCGACUUUCUGGUCUGUAACUGACGCUGAGGCGCGAAAGCGUGGGGAGCAAACAGGAUUAGAUACCCUGGUAGUCCACGCCGUAAGCGAUGAGUGCUAAGUGUUAGAGGGUUUCCGCCCUUUAGUGCUGCAGCUAACGCAUUAUGCACUCCGCCUGGGGAGUACGGCCGCAAGGCUGAACUCAAAGGAAUUGACGG
rnacentral:rRNA from 1 species